UACGUAGGGGGCAAGCGUUGUCCGGAAUUAUUGGGCGUAAAGAGCGCGUAGGCGGUCCGAUAAGUCGGCUGUGAAAGUCAGGGGCUCAACCCUUGAAAGCCGGCCGAUACUGUCGGACUAGAGUCCGGAAGAGGCGAGUGGAAUUCCCGGUGUAGCGGUGAAAUGCGCAGAUAUCGGGAAGAACACCCGUGGCUAAGGCGGCUCUCUAGUACGGUACUGACGCUGAGACGCGAAAGCGUGGGGAGCGAACAGG
rnacentral:rRNA from 1 species